GAAAAGGAGAAACAAAGAUAACAGUUAAGAACAACUUCAAAGAACUGAAAGAUGUGCGAGUAUGGACAGCUGUGUGCUGUUUUUUGUAGGAGGGAUGACACACCUGAUCACUAGAAUACGGAAGUAAAAACGAUCGCAACUUUAGGUUCACGGGGACUUUAAGCUCCGAUCAGAUACAGCACCUUCUGAUUCCAUGAGGUUUUCCGAGCUGUCGGCUGUUCCGAUGGACGCUUCCGACUCCAGCAUCUCAUCAUCAGACGCUCUGGGCUCCAAAGCCAACAUCUCGUUUUCUAUCUGUUGGGUCAAAACUCUCUCUUCUUGCUGCAUGGCUGCUUGCUGUUGCUCAGUCAUCCCAGACUCCGCCCCCUCCUCACCCGGCUCCUCCCUCUCUGCCAUCCGC